AUCAUGAAAGCACAUAUCUAAGUUUGAAAGUAUAUACAGAGUGAGAUGGCCUAGUGUUAAACUUGAAUUUUAACCUUUUAAAGAUUUACAGUAUAGAGAGAGAGAUAUAUAUAUAUUAUAAAGAUAGAGAAUAGGAGAGGGAUAGUAUAUAGAGUAAUAAUAAUGCAUAGAUAGAUUAGUUAGUAUUAAUAGAAAAAAAUAUGUGGGAGACUGCAAAGAGAAAGAGAAAGUAAAAAUAAUGAUUGGAUAAAUUAGUAUUAAACUUGAAACUUUAACUUCUAAAAAUUCAAAAUAGAGAGAGGGCCUAGUGUUAAACUUGAAUUUUAACCUUUUAAAGAUUUACAGUAUAGAGAGAGAGAUAUAUAUAUAUUAUAAAGAUAGAGAAUAGGAGAGGGAUAGUAUAUAGAGUAAUAAUAAUGCAUAGAUAGAUUAGUUAGUAUUAAUAGAAAAAAAUAUGUGGGAGACUGCAAAGAGAAAGAGAAAGUAAAAAUAAUGAUUGGAUAAAUUAGUAUUAAACUUGAAACUUUAACUUCUAAAAAUUCAAAAUAGAGAGAG
rnacentral:misc_RNA from 1 species